CAUUAUCUGAUAGUGAUGCUACAUUGUUAAAUAGGAUAACUUAUGUAUAAAAAAAGAUGUGGUAUGAUUGCCAAUGAGACAACUCUCCACAAAAGACCAAAUUGACAGAAAUUAACAACUAUAGGUCAGCGUACCAGACUUCAACAAUGAGCAAAGCCCAUACCACAUAGUCCGCUAUAACAGGCCCCGAAAUGACAUUGUAAAACAAGAAAACUAACCACCUUAUUUAUAUGAAAAAAAAAACAAAUAUGUAACCCACAAACAAACGACAACCACUGAAUUACAGGCACAUGAAUACAUAACGUGGCAGAUCUCGAUCCUCCACCCUAACCUGGGACAGUGGUAUAUACCUGUAUGUUAUCUUACCAAGAUUUGUUAGACAACAGCCGAAGGCCACCCAAUCUAGCGAAAAUGCUGAACAAAACGGACAACAUGUGUGAUCAACAACUUCUCAAUAACAGGAUCUUGACUUGGGACCAGCAUGGGGGUUUAGAGGGUUUCUUAGGCCCCUCAAGUCCAGCACUUGUAGACUGACAACCCAAAAGACACUCGAGUACUGAUCGCUAGUUCAAAGCUAAUAACAACUAAUAAAAACAUCUUGCAUUUAAGACUCAAUUAAAAUAAAAGCAGUAUAUAGGAGGAGGGUCGAGAUCUCGAAGUUUUGCGC
rnacentral:lncRNA from 1 species